rnacentral:rRNA from 1 species
UANCAUACUUANUUCAGUGNNUCCCNGGUGCGUACGCGUAUGCAACCUACCUUAAACUGGGGGAUAGCCUUCCGAAAGGGAGAUUAAUACCGCAUAAUACUAUUUGAGGGCAUCUGAGGAUAGUUAAAGAUUUAUUGGUUUAAGAUGGGCAUGCGUGCCAUUAGCUAGUUGGUAGGGUAACGGCCUACCAAGGCGACGAUGGCUAGGGGUUCUGAGAGGAUGAUCCCCCACACUGGCACUGAGAUACGGGCCAGACUCCUACGGGAGGCAGCAGUAGGGAAUAUUGGGCAAUGGGCGAAAGCCUGACCCAGCCAUGCCGCGUGCAGGAAGAAGGCCUUCUGGGUUGUAACUGCUUUUAUCUGGGAAGAAAAAGCCCCUGCGGGGGAAACUGACGGUACCAGAGGAAUAAGCACCGGCUAACUCCGUGCCAGCAGCCGCGGUAAUACGGAGGGUGCAAGCGUUGUCGGGAUUUAUUGGGGUUUAAAGGGGUGCGGUAAGGCGGCCCGGUAAGUCNNUGNUGAAACCUCCAGCUCAACUGGAGAACUGCCAUUGAUACUGCCGGGCUUGAGUACAGACGAGGUUGGCGGAAUUGAUAGUGUAGCGGUGAAAUGCAUAGAUACUAUCAAGAACUCCGAUUGCGUAGGCAGCUAACUAGGCUGUAACUGACGCUGAGGCACGAAAGCGUGGGGAGCGAACAGGAUUAGAUACCCUGGUAGUCCACGCUGUAAACGAUGAUGACUCGAUGUUGGCGAUAAACUGUCAGCGUCUAAGCGAAAGCGUUAAGUCAUCCACCUGGGGAGUACGCCCGCNAGGGUGAAACUCAAAGGAAUUGAGGGGGGCCCGCACAAGCGGUGGAGCAUGUGGUUUUAAUUCGAUGAUACGCGAGGAACCUUACCUAGGCUUAGAAUGCGCGUGACCGCCCUCAGAGAUGAGGCUUUCCUUUCCGGGACCCAAAGCAGGGUUGCUGCAUGGCCGUCCUUCAACUUCGUGCCCUGAAGGUGUUGGGGUUAAGUCCCGCCACCAAGNCGCACCCCCUUAUCUUUUAGUUGNCAUCCACAUGNUNGGGGGGGGANUCUUAAAAAAACUGCCUUGCCCANUCAUGGAGGGAUGGUGGGGAAUG